AUUGAACGCUGGCGGCAGGCCUAACACAUGCAAGUCGAGCGAGCGGCGGACGGGUGAGAAAUGGCGGGGAAACUGCCUGAUGGAGGGGGAUAACUGCUGGAAACGGUAGCUAAUACCGCAUACCAUCAGAUGUGCGCAGAUGGGGUUAGCUAGUAGGUGGGGGAACGGCUCACCUAGGCGACGAUCCCUAGCUGGUCUGAGAGGAUGACCAGCCACACUGGAACUGAGACACGGUCCAGACUCCUACGGGAGGCAGCAGUGGGGAAUAUUGCACAAUGGGCGCAAGCCUGAUACAGCCAUGCCGCGUGUGUGAAGAAGGCCUUCGGGUUGUAAAGCACUUUCAGCGGGGAGGCGUUACCCGCAGAAGAAGCACCGGCUAACUCCGUGCCAGCAGCCGCGGUAAUUC
rnacentral:rRNA from 1 species